UUCUAGGACGUGACGAAAGCGCCAAGCCUUGAGCUUGGAAGAGCUUCGUCAUUUCCAAAGAACAUUGCCGCCGUCCUCAUGUCCCUUCAUCACUGGAAAAUACGCCUCGCAAGAGGCGUAUCUGCCUGGCAGGCUUUCGAGCGCCUCGCGCUGCUGUAAAAAGCGGUCUGCGACGGCACCGGGCCGGUAGCUCAGGUGGUUAGAGCGCACGCCUGAUAAGCGUGAGGUCGGAGGUUCAACUCCUCCCCGGCCCACCAUGCAUUGGUUGGGGGCUUUAGCUCAGCUGGGAGAGCGGUUGCUUUGCAAGCAUCAGGUCAUCGGUUCGAUCCCGAUAAGCUCCACCAAGGCACUGCGUAGCGCUGUUGCGCGGAGCAGCAGAAGAUUUCCAGAGAUGAAGAGUAGCGGUUUGCCGGAUGCGUCCGGCGAUAUGGCUUGCUGAUGCAGGCCUCUUUGACAUUGUGAAUGGGUUUUUUAAUCGAUGCCGUGGCGACGCGGUUCGGUUCUUCACUGAUCCUCGGAUCAGCGGGAAACGGACUAUGUCGUACACAAAUGAUUAUCUGGCUGAGUUAAAUCACCACACCGAACAAGCUGAUGUUGGCGCUAUCUCCAGUGCUGUCAUGG
rnacentral:tRNA from 1 species